CCAAAACCAGUCUGGAAGGUUGGAGGUUAACACGGAGUGUUUCUCAAUCAGUGUGUCACUGACCCUGGAGCUCACUGACUCUGCUAGACUGGGACGUUCUGACAAUUGCUCCAGCACGAAUGAACCUUGAGGGCAUUGAGCCAAGUGAAAUAAGCCAGUAACAGAAAGACAAAAAGUCCUGAUCACACUUAAAUAAGCUUCCUGUGCCUCUCAGUUUCCCCCAGAGACACUUGUCCUUGGCAGCUGUGCCUUCCUUGGGUGUCCAGCCGAGUUGUUUGCAGUUAACCAGCUACAGAAAAUGUCAGCCUGAGACGAUAACUUCAGCCUCGUCAGAUUCCACUGGUAUCACCAUAAGUCCACUCCAACAAUUUGCCAAAAAACAAGACUCAGCAGAACAAUUUAGUUGCCCCCCUCACUGGUCUGAUUAAACAAAACAAAAGGAAAGGGGUCAUAUCAA